GGUGCUUGAAAAGAUUCAAGUAUGGUAUAAAUCUCUCUUGAAUGAAUCUCAACAAUCUUAUCAUUAUCUCCUAACCCAAUAGAUGUAAUCAAUUCCAAUGAAUCUUCCAGUCCAUUUUCUUCAUAAACACCUAAAAUCCUCUCAUCAUCUUGCAAUGUACCUUACUUGCGUAAUUGUCCUUCAAUAUCAUAUAAUCUUUUUCUUUCUUUUCUUUUAAAAUCAUCAACUUUCUUAUACAUAAUAUUUCCAUUCUCCAAAAUAUCAAUAAAACUCGCAUCAAAGGCACCUUCAUCUCGCGAGAGUACCUCUUCUUUUGUACCUCCAUAAUCUC
rnacentral:lncRNA from 1 species